rnacentral:lncRNA from 1 species
UCUCUAAACAUUACUUUCUUAGGUUUCGUUUGGGAUUGCGGGAAAAUUACGAUACGUGCGGUAAGAAACGACGAUAGAAAAUUACCUUAUUUAUUUCCGUACAUAAUAUUGUUCAGUAUAUUGCGGUUAGUUGGUUACGAUAUAUUUUCUGCGUUCCCAUCGGAGAACGCAGAAGUAUAUUCUAAGCCUCAAUACCAAACUAAGACUUCGUUUGGGAUUGCGGAGAGAUUACAUUACGUACGGUGCGAAAGUACGUUGGAAAAAUAUUCUGUUUGUUUUCGUAAGUAAUAUUGCGUUCCACAUAUCGCGAUGAGUUGGUUACCAUAUAUUUUCUGCGGUCCCACCGAAAAAUGCAGAAGCAUAUCCCUAUAUGCUUUUUUCUCAACUCCAUUUUAUCUAUCAGCGUUAGAUAGGUCUCAAUACCAAACUAAACCUAAGCCUUAGGCUUAGCCUUAGGCUGCGUUUGGGAUUGCGGGGAGAUUGCGCUACGUGCAGUGAGAAACGACGAUGAAAAAAUACCUGGUUUGUUUCCGUAUUAGUCGGUUACGCUAUAUUUUCUGCGGUGCUAUCGGAGAACGCAGAAGCAUAUCUUUUCUCAACUCCAUUCUAUCUAAUAGCGUUAGAUAGACCUCAAUACCAAACUAAGCCUUAGUAUUAAGAUUUAUCUAACGCUAUUAGAUAGAAUAGAAUUGAGAAAAAGUAUAUAAGAAUAUGCUUCUGCGGUCCCAUCGGAAAACACAGAAAAUAUAUCAUAACCGCAAUAUACGAAACACAAUAUUACGUACGAAAAUAGAAACAAACAGGAUAUUUUUCCAUCGUUGUUUCUCACUGCACAUAACACAAUCUUCCCGCAAUCCGAAAAGAAGCCUUAAUCCACCCUUCCCACUGUUUUCUUAUUUUAAUUUAGUUACUUUU